AUUAUGGCUCAGGAUGAACGCUAGCUACAGGCUUAACACAUGCAAGUCGAGGGGCAGCAUUUCGAUAGCUUGCUAUUGAAGAUGGCGACCGGCGCACGGGUGAGUAACGCGUAUCCAACCUUCCCCAUAGUAGAGGAUAGCCCGGCGAAAGUCGGAUUAAUACUCUAUGUUGUAUUUUGAGGACAUCUGACGAAUACCAAAGAUUUAUCGCUAUGGGAUGGGGAUGCGUCUGAUUAGCUUGUUGGCGGGGUAACGGCCCACCAAGGCUACGAUCAGUAGGGGUUCUGAGAGGAAGGUCCCCCACAUUGGUACUGAGACACGGACCAAACUCCUACGGGAGGCAGCAGUGAGGAAUAUUGGUCAAUGGGCGCGAGCCUGAACCAGCCAAGUAGCGUGCAAGGAUGACUGCCCUAUGGGUUGUAAACUGCUUUUAUGCGGGAAUAAAGUCAGGUACGCGUACCUGUUUGUAUGUACCGCAUGAAUAAGGACCGGCUAAUUCCGUGCCAGCCGCAGC
rnacentral:rRNA from 1 species